rnacentral:lncRNA from 1 species
UGCCUGUUGGAUCUGUUGGGGGGUACUGGACAUCAUUCAUAUCAACCUACUACCACGUCUCCAUAAUGAUCAUCCCACCUGCCAGAAUAGUUCUAUAUCUCUAAGUUCACCAUAUAGGCUGCUCUGGUAUUAUAAAUUAAUGCUUGUCAUAAAAGCCCCUCGAUCAAAAUACGUUAUGUAUCUACGCUCAACAUGUAGGCCACUCUGGUGUUACAUAUCUAUGCUCCAUAGAGAGAUGGUAAAAAGACGCCCAGAGGUAGGGAUUUGAACCUACAACCCUCUGGAGUGACUUGAUAAUGGGUGCUGUGCAGAGUCCCCACGGCUAGCUCAGCGACAUCAUAAUAGGGCCGUGAGUGUAGGUGUGCUGACGGGGGUGUUACUGGCAAAACAUUUCCCUUCCCCUGACGCCAGGCUGCAUAUCUGGUGUCCAGUACUCUCCAUGUGCAGCAGCUGUUAACGCGUGCGUGCGUGCAUUCAACUAGCUGAUGUGUGGAUUGCUCUUAUCCCUAGCACCUUUCCCUAACUCCUUUCCCUAGCACCUAACCCUGCCACCUAACCCUAACCACUGCUUCUCUCGCUGUCGUCUUGGCAUGACCACUUGCUCUUCCGUUCCUCACCGUUUUCUUUUCACUGAAGGGCCACUCUGUUUGUUCUGGACCUGACGCUUCUUCUUGGUGGGGAUCACUUACAUGGCACAGGGUGAUGUGGCGGUCUCUGUGGGUGGGGGCGGGGGUCUCUGUGGGUGGGGGCAGGGGUUUCUGGGUGCACAAAUCAUUACAUGCUUCUGUGGGGCUUUUAUAACAUUGCUUUUUCUUUCUGUUGCUUACAAGUGGGAAAAUACACAGCCUCUCUGUUGCAGUGUUGGACAGUUAUGGUUCUGACUGUGUGUACUAUUUCUUAUUUGUUGCGCUUCAAGGUCCAGUCCCAGUUGAUUCAGACCACAGAGGAGUUUGAACAGGCUCAGAAAGCGGUUGUAGAGCUCCAAACUCAGCUGGACCUGCUGAAGGACGCAGGAGACGCCGCGCAAACCGACAUGGAGGAUGUAGCCUUGCUAAAGGUAACCACUCGCUGA